rnacentral:rRNA from 1 species
UACGUAGGGUGCGAGCGUUAAUCGGAAUUACUGGGCGUAAAGCGUGCGCAGGCGGUUUUGUAAGCCAGAUGUGAAAUCCCCGGGCUCAACCUGGGAAUGGCAUUUGGGACUGCAAGGCUUGAGUGCGGCAGAGGAGACUGGAAUUCCUGGUGUAGCAGUGAAAUGCGUAGAUAUCUGGAGGAAUACCGGUGGCGAAGGCGGCAUCCUGGACCGACAUUGACGCUGAGGAGCGAAAGCCAGGGGAGCAAACGGG